rnacentral:rRNA from 1 species
GAUGAACGCUGGCGGCGUGCCUAACACAUGCAAGUCGAGCGAUCUUCUUCGGAAGAGAGCGGCGGACGGGUGAGUGACGCGUGGGUAACCUGCCCUGUACACACGGAUAACAUACCGAAAGGUAUGCUAAUACGAGAUAAUAUGCUUUUAUCGCAUGGUAGAAGUAUCAACGCACCGGCGGUACAGGAUGGACCCGCGUCUGAUUAGCUAGUUGGUAAGGUAAUGGCUUACCAAGGCGACGAUCAGUAGCCGACCUGAGAGGGUGAUCGGCCACAUUGGAACUGAGACACGGUCCAAACUCCUACGGGAGGCAGCAGUGGGGAAUAUUGCACAAUGGGCGAAAGCCUGAUGCAGCAACGCCGCGUGAGCGAUGAAGGCCUUCGGGUCGUAAAGCUCUGUCCUCAAGGAAGAUAAUGACGGUACUUGAGGAGGAAGCCCCGGCUAACUACGUGCCAGCCGCCGCCGUAA